AUUGAACGCUGGCGGCAGGCUUAACACAUGCAAGUCGAGCGGUAACAGAGAGAAGCUUGCUUCUCUGCUGACGAGCGGCGGACGGGUGAGUAAUGCCUAGGAAUCUGCCUAGUAGUGGGGGAUAACUUGCCGAAAGGUAAGCUAAUACCGCAUACGUCCUACGGGAGAAAGGAGGGGACCUUCGGGCCUUUCGCUAUUAGAUGAGCCUAGGUCGGAUUAGUUAGUUGGUGAGGUAAUGGCUCACCAAGACCGCGAUCCGUAACUGGUCUGAGGGGAUGAUCAGUCACACUGGAGCUGAGACACGGUCCAGACUCCUACGGGAGGCAGCAGUGGGGAAUAUUGGACAAUGGGGGGAACCCUGAUCCAGCCAUGGCGCGUGUGUGAAGAAGGUCUUAGGAUUGUAAAGCACUUUAAGUUGGGAGGAAGAGCAGUUAACUAAUAUUUGACUGUUUUGACGUUACCGACAGAAUAAGCACCGGCUAACUUCGUGCCAGCCGCCGCCGUAA
rnacentral:rRNA from 1 species